rnacentral:lncRNA from 1 species
UGCCUUGUUUUGUCUCUCCAUUGAACGCCUUUCUCCAUCCACAGUAGUGAUGAUUUGAAUUUAAGAAUCUCCGAUGACCGAGAAAGACAUUCUUCUGACCAAACUCCAAGCGCUUCCAAUCUGUUUUAUCUUCACAAAUAGAACACGCACAUUGACCUUUUAUGCUAUACCCUGAUAGAUUUCCGUAUGCUGGAAAAUCAUUAAUUGUGCCAAACAACAUCGCCCUCAAGUUGAAACUUU